UGGGGAAUCUUCCGCAAUGUACGAAAGUCUGACGGAGCAACGCCGCGUGAGUGAAGACGGCCUUUGGGUUGUAAAGCUCUGUGAUCCGGGACGAAAGAGCCUGAGGUGAAUAGCCUAAGGAAGUGACGGUACCGGAAAAGCAAGCCACGGCUAACUACGUGCCAGCAGCCGCGGUAAUACGUAGGUGGCAAGCGUUGUCCGGAAGUAUUGGGCGUAAAGCGCGCGCAGGCGGCUUCCUAAGUCCAUCUUAAAAGUGCGGGGCUUAACCCCGUGAUGUGAUAGAAACUGGGAAGCUGGAGUAUCGGAGAGGAAAGUGCAAUUCCUAGUGUAUCGGUGAAAUGCGUAGAGAUUAGGAAGAACACCGGUGGCGAAGGCGACUUUCUGGACGAAAACUGACGCUGAGGCGCGAAAGCGUGGGGAGCAAACAGG
rnacentral:rRNA from 1 species